UACGUAGGGUGCGAGCGUUGUCCGGAAUUACUGGGCGUAAAGAGCUCGUAGGCGGUUCGUCGCGUCGGCUGUGAAAACCCGGAGCUCAACUCCGGGCCUGCAGUCGAUACGGGCGGACUUGAGUGUUGCAGGGGAGACUGGAAUUCCUGGUGUAGCGGUGAAAUGCGCAGAUAUCAGGAGGAACACCGGUGGCGAAGGCGGGUCUCUGGGCCGAUACUGACGCUGAGGAGCGAAAGCGUGGGGAGCGAACAGG
rnacentral:rRNA from 1 species